AUCCAGCUGACGAGUCCCGAACAGGACGAAACGCGCGUUCUGGAU
rnacentral:hammerhead_ribozyme from 1 species